rnacentral:rRNA from 1 species
UUGAACGCUGGCGGCAUGCCUAACACAUGCAAGUCGAACGGCAGCACAGUAGAGCUUGCUCUAUGGGUGGCGAGUGGCGGACGGGUGAGUAAUGCAUCGGGAUCUACCCAAACGUGGGGGAUAACGUAGGGAAACUUACGCUAAUACCGCAUACGUCCUAUGGGAGAAAGCGGGGGAUCGCAAGACCUCGCGCGGUUGGACGAACCGAUGUGCGAUUAGCUAGUUGGUAGGGUAAUGGCCUACCAAGGCGACGAUCGCUAGCUGGUCUGAGAGGAUGAUCAGCCACACUGGAACUGAGACACGGUCCAGACUCCUACGGGAGGCAGCAGUGGGGAAUAUUGGACAAUGGGCGCAAGCCUGAUCCAGCAAUGCCGCGUGUGUGAAGAAGGCCUUCGGGGUGUAAAGCACUUUUAUCAGGAGCGAAAUGCCAUUGGUUAAUACCCGGUGGAGCUGACGGUACCUGAGGAAUAAGCACCGGCUAACUUCGUGCCAGCAGCCGCGGUAAUACGAAGGGUGCAAGCGUUAAUCGGAAUUACUGGGCGUAAAGCGUGCGUAGGCGGUGACUUAAGUCUGCUGUGAAAUCCCCGGGCUCAACCUGGGAAUGGCAGUGGAUACUGGGUCGCUAGAGUGUGAUAGAGGAUGGUGGAAUUCCCGGUGUAGCGGUGAAAUGCGUAGAGAUCGGGAGGAACAUCAGUGGCGAAGGCGGCCAUCUGGAUCAACACUGACGCUGAGGCACGAAAGCGUGGGGAGCAAACAGGAUUAGAUACCCUGGUAGUCCACGCCCUAAACGAUGCGAACUGGAUGUUGGUCUCAACUCGGAGAUCAGUGUCGAAGCUAACGCGUUAAGUUCGCCGCCUGGGGAGUACGGUCGCAAGACUGAAACUCAAAGGAAUUGACGGGGGCCCGCACAAGCGGUGGAGUAUGUGGUUUAAUUCGAUGCAACGCGAAGAACCUUACCUGGCCUUGACAUGUCUGGAAUCCUGCAGAGAUGCGGGAGUGCCUUCGGGAAUCAGAACACAGGUGCUGCAUGGCUGUCGUCAGCUCGUGUCGUGAGAUGUUGGGUUAAGUCCCGCAACGAGCGCAACCCUUGUCCUUAGUUGCCAGCACGUAAUGGUGGGAACUCUAAGGAGACUGCCGGUGACAAACCGGAGGAAGGAGGGAAUGACGUCAAGUCAUCAUGGCCCUUACGGCCAGGGCUACACACGUACUACAAUGGUCGGUACAGAGGGUUGCAAUACCGCGAGGUGGAGCCAAUCCAGAAAGCCGAUCCCAGUCCGGAUCGAAGUCUGCAACUCGACUUCGUGAAGUCGGAAUCGCUAGUAAUCGCAGAUCAGCUAUGCUGCGGUGAAUACGUUCCCGGGCCUUGUACACACCGCCCGUCACACCAUGGGAGUGAGUUGCUCCAGAAGCCGUUAGUCUAACCGCAAGGGGGACGACGACCACGGAGUGGUUCAUGACUGGGGUG